ACCUCCUUCGGGAGGGGAUUAGUGGCGAACGGGUGAGUAACACGUGGGCAAUCUGCCCUUCACUCUGGGACAAGCCCUGGAAACGGGGUCUAAUACCGGAUAAUACUGCGGAUCGCAUGGUCUGUGGUUGAAAGCUCCGGCGGUGAAGGAUGAGCCCGCGGCCUAUCAGCUUGUUGGUGGGGUGAUGGCCUACCAAGGCGACGACGGGUAGCCGGCCUGAGAGGGCGACCGGCCACACUGGGACUGAGACACGGCCCAGACUCCUACGGGAGGCAGCAGUGGGGAAUAUUGCACAAUGGGCGAAAGCCUGAUGCAGCGACGCCGCGUGAGGGAUGACGGCCUUCGGGUUGUAAACCUCUUUCAGCAGGGAAGAAGCGAAAGUGACGGUACCUGCAGAAGAAGCGCCGGCUAACUACGUGCCAGCAGCCGCGGUAAUACGUAGGGCGCAAGCGUUGUCCGGAAUUAUUGGGCGUAAAGAGCUCGUAGGCGGCUUGUCACGUCGGAUGUGAAAGCCCGGGGCUUAACCCCGGGUCUGCAUUCGAUACGGGCAGGCUAGAGUGUGGUAGGGGAGAUCGGAAUUCCUGGUGUAGCGGUGAAAUGCGCAGAUAUCAGGAGGAACACCGGUGGCGAAGGCGGAUCUCUGGGCCAUUACUGACGCUGAGGAGCGAAAGCGUGGGGAGCGAACAGGAUUAGAUACCCUGGUAGUCCACGCCGUAAACGUUGGGAACUAGGUGUUGGCG
rnacentral:rRNA from 1 species